rnacentral:rRNA from 1 species
CCUACGGGAGGCUGCAGUGGGGAAUAUUGGACAAUGGGCGAAAGCCUGAUCCAGCCAUGCCGCGUGUGUGAAGAAGGCCUUCGGGUUGUAAAGCACUUUCAGUGGGGAAGAAAGCCUUGGGGCUAAUACCCUCGAGGAAGGACAUCACCCACAGAAGAAGCACCGGCUAACUCCGUGCCAGCAGCCGCGGUAAUACGGAGGGUGCGAGCGUUAAUCGGAAUUACUGGGCGUAAAGCGCGCGUAGGCGGUCUGAUAAGCCGGUUGUGAAAGCCCCGGGCUCAACCUGGGAACGGCAUCCGGAACUGUCAGGCUAGAGUGCAGGAGAGGAAGGUAGAAUUCCCGGUGUAGCGGUGAAAUGCGUAGAGAUCGGGAGGAAUACCAGUGGCGAAGGCGGCCUUCUGGACUGACACUGACGCUGAGGUGCGAAAGCGUGGGUAGCAAACAGGAUUAGCUACCCGGGUAGUC